GAUGAACGCUGGCGGCGUGCCUAAUACAUGCAAGUCGAGCGAACAGACGAGGAGCUUGCUCCUCUGACGUUAGCGGCGGACGGGUGAGUAACAAGUGGAUAACCUACCUAUAAGACUGGGAUAACUUCGGGAAACCGGAGCUAAUACCGGAUAAUAUAUUGAACCGCAUGGAUCAAUAGUGAAAGACGGUUUUGCCGUCACUUAUAGAUGGAUCCGCGCCGCAUUAGCUAGUUGGUAAGGUAACGGCUUACCAAGGCAACGAUGCGUAGCCGACCUGAGAGGGUGAUCGGCCACACUGGAACUGAGACACGGUCCAGACUCCUACGGGAGGCAGCAGUAGGGAAUCUUCCGCAAUGGGCGAAAGCCUGACGGAGCAACGCCGCGUGAGUGAUGAAGGUCUUCGGAUCGUAAAACUCUGUUAUUAGGGAAGAACAAAUGUGUAAGUAACUAUGCACGUCUUGACGGUACCUAAUCAGAAAGCCACGGCUAACUACGUG
rnacentral:rRNA from 1 species